rnacentral:rRNA from 1 species
GUGGAUUAGUGGCGAACGGGUGAGUAACACGUGAGCAACCUGCCCCUGACUCUGGGAUAAGCGCUGGAAACGGCGUCUAAUACUGGAUACGAACCAUGAAGGCAUCUUCAGUGGUUGGAAAGAUUUAUUGGUUGGGGAUGGGCUCGCGGCCUAUCAGCUUGUUGGUGAGGUAAUGGCUCACCAAGGCGUCGACGGGUAGCCGGCCUGAGAGGGUGACCGGCCACACUGGGACUGAGACACGGCCCAGACUCCUACGGGAGGCAGCAGUGGGGAAUAUUGCACAAUGGGCGCAAGCCUGAUGCAGCAACGCCGCGUGAGGGAUGACGGCCUUCGGGUUGUAAACCUCUUUUAGCAGGGAAGAAGCGAGAGUGACGGUACCUGCAGAAAAAGCACCGGCUAACUACGUGCCAGCAGCCGCGGUAAUACGUAGGGUGCAAGCGUUAUCCGGAAUUAUUGGGCGUAAAGAGCUCGUAGGCGGUUUGUCGCGUCUGCUGUGAAAUCUGGGGGCUCAACCCCCAGCCUGCAGUGGGUACGGGCAGACUAGAGUGCGGUAGGGGAGAUUGGAAUUCCUGGUGUAGCGGUGGAAUGCGCAGAUAUCAGGAGGAACACCGAUGGCGAAGGCAGAUCUCUGGGCCGUAACUGACGCUGAGGAGCGAAAGGGUGGGGAGCAAACAGGCUUAGAUACCCUGGUAGUCCACCCCGUAAACGUUGGGAACUAGUUGUGGGGUCCAUUCCACGGAUUCCGUGACGCAGCUAACGCAUUAAGUUCCCCGCCUGGGGAGUACGGCCGCAAGGCUAAAACUCAAAGGAAUUGACGGGGACCCGCACAAGCGGCGGAGCAUGCGGAUUAAUUCGAUGCAACGCGAAGAACCUUACCAAGGCUUGACA